AUUGAACGCUGGCGGCAGGCCUAACACAUGCAAGUCGAACGGUAACAGGAAGCAGCUUGCUGCUUCGCUGACGAGUGGCGGACGGGUGAGUAAUGUCUGGGAAGCUGCCUGAUGGAGGGGGAUAACUACUGGAAACGGUAGCUAAUACCGCAUAAUGUCGCAAGACCAAAGAGGGGGACCUUCGGGCCUCUUGCCAUCGGAUGUGCCCAGAUGGGAUUAGCUUGUUGGUGGGGUAACGGCUCACCAAGGCGACGAUCCCUAGCUGGUCUGAGAGGAUGACCCGGCAAAAUGGGACUGAGGCACGGGCCAGACUCCUACGGGAGGCAGCAGUGGGGAAUAUUGCACAAUGGGCGCAAGCCUGAUGCAGCCAUGCCGCGUGUAUGAAGAAGGCCUUCGGGUUGUAAAGUACUUUCAGCGGGGAGGAAGGGAGUGAAGUUAAUACCUUGGCUCAUUGACGUUACCCGCAGAAGAAGCACCGGCUAACUCCGUG
rnacentral:rRNA from 1 species